GUGUUGUCCUCAGCAGCACACACACUAGAACUGGAACGAUACAGAGAAGAGUAGCAGGGCCUCUGUGCCGACAUGCAAAUUCGCGAAGCAUUCCAUGUUAAA